GGGGAGAGAGGGAGAAAAACUGAAGCUCCAGAAUGAAGUCAGACACUGAAGAAGAAUGGAGUCAUCAUGCUGCCAUGGUGCCUAUGAAACUACGCAUCACUGUUACAGGAUUGGAGCACGACAGAUCUGAAAGGCCAGUCUGUCCAGCUAGGAGAUCUAUGAGUAAAUGUGUUAGAAUCUUCCUUUUGCGGCAUUGCAGUGCUCAUGACUCAUCCUGCAGAACAAUGUGACAGGACUCCAGGGAGAUAGGACUGCUGCUAACUUCUGCAGAGCCUGAAAAUACGGUGCUUCCUUUGACUUCUCAUCUCAAGACACACCUAGGUUACAGGAAUAGGAAGACCUCUCCCAGAAUACUCCGUGUGACAGAUGGGAGAAUUACACCAGGAGCGACCGAGAGGAGGAACAUGGGCAAGCACU